rnacentral:rRNA from 1 species
GAUGAACGCUGGCGGAGUGCCUAACACAUGCAAGUCGAGCGGCAGCGCGAGUAGUUUACUACUUGGCGGCGAGCGGCGGACGGCUGAGUAACGCGUGGGAACAUGCCCCAAAGUGAGGAAUAACUGCCCGAAAGGGUAGCUAAUGCCGCAUACGAUCUUCGGAUUAAAGGAUUUAUCCGCUUUGGGAGUGGCCUGCGUACGAUUAGAUAGUUGGUGAGGUAAUGGCUCACCAAGUCUACGAUCGUUAACUGGUUUGAGAGGAUGAUCAGUCAGACUGGAACUGAGACACGGUCCAGACUCCUACGGGAGGCAGCAGUGAGGAAUCUUCCACAAUGGACGAAAGUCUGAUGGAGCAACUCCGCGUGCAGGAUGAAGGCCUCGGUCGUAACUGCUUUAUUGAGUGAAGAAUAU